GCUCUGGUGGUGGAAUUGGUAGACACGCUAGGUUCAGGGUCUAGUGUCCGUAGGGACGUGGGAGUUCGACUCUCCCCCAGAGCACCA
rnacentral:tRNA from 1 species